UUACAUUGAAGAAAGGAUGGUUUUUAUUUCCUUGAUGUUAAUAUUUGUAACAAAAUUGCUAAGAAUUUGCCUCUAAAAAAUGUGCUCUUCAACAUACUCUUCAAAUAGACCUCUGGAAUAGAAAGGGAAAGAAUAAUCUUAUGUAUAAUUUCGGGGAGCACUUUUAUGCCUUACUUUAACAUCGACCUGAAAUAGUCUAAAACUCCUUUGUGUGAUGCCCACCAGAAUUUACUCCUAAGUCCUAAAAUGAACACUUCUUGGGUGUAUUGGCUUGUUGGUGGUACAUAUUUUACUUUUUUGCAGCCUUCCUUGAUAACAAAUAUUCUACUCUCCCUGCAUGAAGACAAUGCUACUGAAAACGCAUGUGCCCCAUGCAGUGGAGCGUUCCCGCAGAGCAUAAUGAGUGGGAUGCUUUGAGCCCCUACUGGCCCAUCUUUGGGAGCACUGUCACUCUCUAGGCCAACAGCAGAAAUUUGCAAAACAAGGAUUUGCUUACUUCCUUAUUCGGAACAAAUUGUUCUCUGAGCCGAGGUAAUUGGAUUGUAUCGAAAUCGAGGCUGUGCUGCUGACGGCAUCAAUGCUGUGCUCUAACCACAGUCGCCUGUGCACAGCCCAGGUAUGCAUGAGUGCACCAAAAACGAAUCGCCAGGAGAAAGAAAAGUAAAAGCUGACUCUCUGCCCCGAGUAGUGUGCGGGCCAGGGGCUGCCCGAGAAGUCUCCAGCCUCUGUACACUCAGCAGGGAUGCGCGGUAUCCUGGCUCGGGUGUCCCCAAGAGAACGUUGGGGCAGGUCCCAGAGCAGGGCCCAGGAGACAGAGACAGACUCAUUUGGAUGAGGAGCACUCGCCGCCCCUUGAGGAGUCGCCAUGAGGGAGCGGACCCUCCCCCCAGGAGUCACCCCCUCCGGAGGAUCGCUGCCCUCAGUUGACGCCCUGGUCUCUGCCGUUUUCCUGCAGACUUCCCGCCUCCUGGGGCGGAAGAUGGAGGGGCGGGGGUCCUUCCUCUGGCUCUUCAGCUUCCGAAGCAGACUCAGUGGACUCAUCGUCGUAGAAGUCAAUCGUGGCUUGCACUGGGAAACUGGCCAGCACUUGCUCCCCGGAGCUCUGCAGAUAGAAGAGAAAAGGGAGAGAGAAAACACCCUUCUAUAAAUAAUGGAUGGUAGUUUUUCACUUCAUAAGAUAUCCAAUAGACCAGUGCUGCUCGGCCUCCAGGGGACGUCUGGCAAUGUCUGGAGACAUUUUUGAUUGUCAGAACUGAGAGGAAGCUACUGAUGUUUAGUGAGUAGAGGUCAGGAAUACUGGUAAACACCCUACGAGGCCCAGGCUAGCUCCCACCAUGAAGAAUUAUCCAGCCCAAAGUGCCAACAGUGCUAAGGUUGAGAAAUUCUGCAACAGACAGAAUGUGUAUAUUCAUCUAAGACAGAAAUAUGAGCAUAGUUCCAUUUUUAGCCAUGUUUACACUUAGGUAUUUAUACUGAAGUAUUCACAGGUGAAUUCCUAGCAUGUCUGA